rnacentral:rRNA from 1 species
ACGGAAGGCAGCAGUGGGGAAUAUUGGGCAAUGGGGGCAACCCUGACCCAGCAACGCCGCGUGAAGGAAGAAGGCCCUCGGGUUGUAAACUUCUUUUACCAGGGACGAAACAAUGACGGUAUCUGGAGAAAAAGCAACGGCUAACUACGUGCCAGCAGCCGCGGUAAUACGUAGGUUGCAAGCGUUGUCCGGAUUUACUGGGUGUAAAGGGCGUGUAGGCGGAGAAGCAAGUCAGAUGUGAAAUCCCGGGGCUUAACCCCGGAACUGCAUUUGAAACUGUUUCCCUUGAGUAUCGGAGAGGCAAGCGGAAUUCCUAGUGUAGCGGUGAAAUGCGUAGAUAUUAGGAGGAACACCAGUGGCGAAGGCGGCUUGCUGGACGACAACUGACGCUGAGGCGCGAAAGCGUGGGGAGCAAACAGGAUUAGAUACCCUGGUA